CCCAGACUAUGAGGGCGCUGAUAAAAAAUCAACAGAAAAUAUCUGACUAAUAUAACUGUUUAGUGUGGCUAUCAUUUCUGACUUUUUUGGACAAGCAAAGCAAUAUUUACUACAAGAUUUGCUCAACAAUCUGCUGUUUGCUAGUUGACUCAUUUGCGUAAUUUACCAGAUCAUGAUGUAUUAUGAUAAUGAAUAUUCAUUGUCAGACACUUGAAACUACAAAAAUCAGGAAACUGCUGAAAUGACACCACAGCAAGAGCAACUUCUAGAUAUGCAUGUGCGUUCCACCACAGCGAAUCACGCACGUUGUAACCUUCUACCGCUUGGAUAGGCCUGGGAACAUAAAUAAAAAUUUUGUAGAAGGCUCAACAUUGCAAAGAUUUCAGCAAACCAGUGGACUCAUCCUGCUCAUCUCAAUGGCUAUAAUGUUGCUUUUUUGUUUUGUGCUCGUUAAUUCUGCUGAAUGAAAUUCUGAAGAAAAUUUAGACAUUGCAUCUCUGCAACAAGUGGACCAGCCCUGCUUGGCUGAAUGGCGAAUUUUGCUUCCUCUACUGAAUGAAUGUGGCAGCUGAUUUGGCAAUAUAUCUUUGUAAUUUAGUAUCGUUUUGGAAAUAUUUUGAAUAAAUAUUCAUUGUAAUUCAAGUAUUAAAUUUAAUAUCGUUUUGGAAAUAUUUUGAAUAAAUAUUCAUUGUA